rnacentral:rRNA from 1 species
CUUAGGAGCAAAGCAGGGGAACUUCGGUCCUUGCGCUAUCGGAUGAACCCAUAUGGGAUUAGCUAGUAGGUGGGGUAAUGGCUCACCUAGGCGACGAUCCCUAGCUGGUCUGAGAGGAUGAUCAGCCACACUGGGACUGAGACACGGCCCAGACUCCUACGGGAGGCAGCAGUGGGGAAUAUUGCACAAUGGGCGCAAGCCUGAUGCAGCCAUGCCGCGUGUAUGAAGAAGGCCCUAGGGUUGUAAAGUACUUUCAGUCGGGAGGAAGGCGUUGAUGCUAAUAUCAUCAACGAUUGACGUUACCGACAGAAGAAGCACCGGCUAACUCCGUGCCAGCAGCCGCGGUAAUACGGAGGGUGUAAGCGUUAAUCGGAAUUACUGGGCGUAAAGCGCACGCAGGCGGUUGAUUAAGUUAGAUGUGAAAUCCCCGGGCUUAACCUGGGAAUGGCAUCUAAGACUGGUCAGCUAGAGUCUUGUAGAGGGGGGUAGAAUUCCAUGUGUAGCGGUGAAAUGCGUAGAGAUGUGGAGGAAUACCGGUGGCGAAGGCGGCCCCCUGGACAAAGACUGACGCUCAGGUGC